CCUACGGGUGGCAGCAGUGAGGAAUAUUGGUCAAUGGGCGCGAGUCUGAACCAGCCAUGCAGCGUGCAGGAAGACGGCUCUAUGAGUUGUAAACUGCUUUUAUACGAGAAUAAACUCAGAUACGCGUAUCUGUCUGAAAGUAUCGUACGAAUAAGGAUCGGCUAACUCCGUGCCAGCAGCCGCGGUAAUACGGAGGAUUCAAGCGUUAUCCGGAUUUAUUGGGUUUAAAGGGUGCGUAGGCGGUCGGAUAAGUUAGAGGUGAAAUCCCGAGGCUCAACUUCGGAAUUGCCUCUGAUACUGGUCGGCUAGAGAGCAGUUGAGGUAGGCGGAAUGCAUGGUGUAGCGGUGAAAUGCUUAGAGAUCACACAGAACACCGAUUGCGAAGGCAGCCUACCAAGCUACUUCUGACGUUGAGGCACGAAAGUGUGGGGAGCAAACAGGAUUAGAUACCCGAGUAGUC
rnacentral:rRNA from 1 species